UUGUUGUAGUUGGAGCACAACAAGGAGGUGGGAGAUGGUUGGCAGUAAAUGGUGCUAAAAUAUUAAAGGUCCCAGCGAAAGAGGGAGUAUUGUAGGAGAAGGUUCGCGACUUGAAAGCUGAAAACCCCAGCCACUCUUUACCUCCGUCCGACUCCACUGAUGUCGCCGUUCGCUGCCACUGUCUUCUCCUUCAUUCAAGUUCGUUGUUCUCUUUCUCUUCCUCCUUAAGCGAUUUCCAUAGCUGAAACACAAGGAGGAGUUGCAAGAUUUUUCAGCGCCUCUAGUAUCUCUUCAUUUCCAUUUUCUUUCUGCUGCUGUCAAGAGUCACGCCUGUU